AAAGGCUUAGGUUCAAAUAAGACCAAAGGCCUUCAAAGCCUUAAGCAGGUGUAAAAUCGCCUAGCCUUUG
ensembl:Mt_tRNA